GAUGAACGCUGGCGGCGUGCCUAAUACAUGCAAGUCGAGCGAACAGACGAGGAGCUUGCUCCUUUGACGUUAGCGGCGGACGGGUGAGUAACACGUAGGUAACCUACCUAUAAGACUGGGAUAACUUCGGGAAACCGGAGCUAAUACCGGAUAAUAUUUCGAACCGCAUGGUUCGAUAGUGAAAGAUGGCUUUGCUAUCACUUAUAGAUGGACCUGCGCCGUAUUAGCUAGUUGGUAAGGUAACGGCUUACCAAGGCAACGAUAUGUAGCCGACCUGAGAGGGUGAUCGGCCACACUGGAACUGAGACACGGUCCAGACUCCUACGGGAGGCAGCAGUAGGGAAUCUUCCGCAAAGGGCGAAAGCCUGACGGAGCAACGCCGCGUGAGUGAUGAAGGUCUUCGGAUCGUAAAACUCUGUUAUUAGGGAAGAACAAACGUGUAAGUAACUGUGCACGUCUUGACGGUACCUAAUCAGAAAGCCACGGCUAACUACGUG
rnacentral:rRNA from 1 species